GCAAAAUCCUGACAUUCGGCGUAUUGUUUUGCAGCAGUGUGAUGUAGUUGUGACGUAUUUGACAGCUGGAAUCUGAUUGGCUGUUGCGGUUUGAAGCCUUGGAGAUGAUGUUCAUGGCUCCCUGACUGUAUUUGUACUCUAAUGGAGAUCUGAAGUGGAUGUGAACAUGGAUGCAGAACGCAAAGGCUGUUUCAAAACUACAAGACAUUAAUGAACGGGACACAGGAGCGUCUGAGCCCCGUACUGCGAGAUGUGACAGGAUGCUGAACCAUCACUGCAGAAGGAACCCAGAGUUACAGGAGGAGCUGCAGAUCCAGGCGGCGGUGGCGGCCGGCGAUGUCUACACCGUCCGCAAGAUGCUGGAGCAGGGCUACUCGCCCAAGAUCAGGGACGCCAACGGCUGGACGCUGCUGCACUUCUCUGCGGCGAAGGGAAAGGAGCGCUGCGUGCGUGUGUUCCUCGAACACGGAGCGGAUCCCACAGUGAAGGAUUUCAUCGGAGGCUUCACCGCUCUGCAUUAUGCUGCCAUGCACGGCCGUGCCCGCAUCGCCCGCCUCAUGCUGGAGUCCGAGUACCGCAGCGACAUCAUCAACGCCAAGAGCAACGACGGCUGGACGCCUCUGCACGUGGCGGCCCACUACGGCCGCGACUCCUUCGUGCGUCUCCUCUUGGAGUUCAAAGCCGAGGUGGACCCGCUCAGCGACAAAGGCACCACGCCGCUCCAGCUGGCCAUCAUCCGCGAGCGCUCCAGCUGCGUGCGCAUCCUGCUCGACCACAGCGCCAACAUAGACAUUCAGAACGGCUUCUUGCUGCGUUACGCCGUCAUUAAGGGCAACCACUCAUACUGCCGCAUGUUCCUGCAGCGCGGAGCGGACACUAACCUGGGCCGGCUGGAGGACGGCCAGACGCCGCUGCACCUGUCGGCCCUCAGAGACGAUGUGCUGUGCGCGCAGAUGCUGUACACUUACGGAGCCGAUACGAACACAAGGAACUACGAGGGCCAGACGCCCGUGGCUGUUUCCGUCAGCAUGUCUGGCAUCAGUCGGCCCUGUCUGGACUUCCUGCAGGAGGUCACAAGGCAACCCAGGACUUUGCAGGAUCUGUGCAGGAUAAAGAUUCGGCAGUGCAUCGGCCUGCAGAGCCUGAAGCUUCUGGAAGAUCUGCCCAUUGCCAAGGUCAUGAAGGACUACCUAAAACACAAGUUCGACAGCGUUUGACAACAGCCGACCAACCCUUAAGACUCUAUGCAAACUCUCUUGAUUUCUACUCAACCUCUGGGAGCAGGUGCAGCUUUUUGUACAAGCAGAGUGAAAUAACGACUGUGGAUCGGAGCACUGUAAUGGCCACGUUGAUUCGUUCACUGAAGGUGUCGUGGAGAAAUUCCUGACCCAUGAGAGAAGAAAAAUGCAGACGUUUGAUUUGUACCAAAUAUCUUUUUUUGCUCUUAAAUCAACAAGGCCUUUUGUUCCAGAUCCAGUAUCAGAGGUGCUUGGCUUUAGUUUGCAUUAAAAGCUGAAGAAAAAGACCUCGUCACAAGAGGACUACAUAGGUGAACAUGUAUUACGUGCAUAAAUCAUUAACGAACUUUAUGUAAAUAAUUGUGUCAUAUGUACAGCAGAUAUUUUUAGACUAUUUAAGCCACAUGCUUGCGUUAUCGAAGUGAUUUGGGGGUUUGGUUGAGUGCUUCUGUGUUUUUUCAUGUGACCUGUCAAGGGCUUUGAUGUGGGAACGUCCAGAUCUGUAAUUAAAUGGAAUAUUAUUAAUGCUUAAUUGGAAUUGGCCAUCAUUUUCCUCUUAUUACGCACAUGAAAAAUCUCUUACAUUUUUGCAAUCAGUAACUUAAUAUUCUCAUGAUUUUUUUUAAUAUAUAAUGAUUUGAAAUGCACUUAAUUGUUUCCCUGCAAAAUAUAAGCAUUAGUCAAAGGUCUGGAUAGCAUUAAUUUAGUUCAAUUCAUUUGGCACCUCUUUGCACGUCAGAUCGCAACUUUAUUUUUGAUCUCUUCCCCCUAAAAUCUCAAUCAAGGUGAGAGUGUUUUGUGGGAGAGACUCUCUCUGUUACUGUUACUCUAUUUUCUCCGAACCGGUUGGAACACUAGCUGCCUUUCCUUCAGUCCGUGACGCAGUACAGCCACAGCAUUUCACCACAUCAUGAACACACUUCAAGUGCAUUAAAGUGACCUGCCACAGCAUUUAAAUUAUUUCUUUUGAGUUCAGUUUAGGGCGUUUGUUGGGACUGAAAGCAUCUCUGGAUGACUGCUUGCUACCAUAAUGUAUUCAGAAGCAGGUGUGGAGGACUGAUUUGAGAGCAAGGGAAUGUUAUAUGGGAUUUGUCUUUACUAAUCGGAAGUCUUCCACAACUUCAACUACUGAAUGUAUAUAUUCUGCUGUUUCACAUGUACAUGUGUGUGUGAAUAAAUGGAUCUCAUAAUGUCCCCGUUUGUUAUUUUUCAAAGUCUUAUUGCUGUACUUUGAAGCAGUAAUUGUGCCGUGCUCAUUGAUUUGCAUCCAUUUUUCUAGAGUUUGAUGACUUUCUAAUAAAAUGUCUGAGAAAUA